rnacentral:rRNA from 1 species
UGGGGAAUAUUGCACAAUGGAGGGAACUCUGAUGCAGCGACGCCGCGUGAGUGAUGAAGGACUUCGUUUCGUAAAACUCUGUUCUAUGGGAAGAAAAGGACUGUACCAUAGGAGAAAGCUCCGGCUAAAUACGUGCCAGCAGCCGCGGUAAUACGUAUGGAGCGAGCGUUGUCCGGAAUUAUUGGGCGUAAAGGGUGCGCAGGCGGCUUUACAAGUUGGAUGUGAAAUAUUGUGGCUCAACCACAAACGUGCAUCCAAAACUGCAAAGCUUGAGUUAAGGAGGGGUAAGUGGAAUUCCUGGUGAAACGGUGGAAUGCGUAGAUAUCAGGAGGAAUACAGGUGGCGAAGGCGACUUACUGGACUUAAACUGACGCUCAGGCACGAAAGCGUGGGGAGGAAACAGG